GCACACACAUGCACACAAAUAACUUCAACAGAACGCCGGGUGUUUGCACCAAAGAGGGUCUAACUAACCAUGCAGUGCAGAAUGUAACUCUCCACUUGUAACCCACUCCUGCCAAGGCUUCGUUGAGUCUCGUCUUAAGAGCGGUAGGAGGAGCAGGCGUGACCACGAUCCUAGUUGAAAGAGAUGAACAUGGUUUGAGUAAAGUUUCAUUUCACAAACAUCACUUUGACACUAGUUUAUGGCCCACAUGCCUACUUAUAGUCAUCGCCUCUCAAAGCCACUGCCAGCACCGUGUGUGUGUGUCAGGAAGGCAUGUUCAACGUGUCUUCACGUGUGUGUGUGUGUAAUAUGAGUGGCAGCAAACAAGUGAGAUUCUAAUAUGUCCAAAACAUUAUUAUAUGACGUUUAAAGUAGAAAUAUUCACAUCCUUAGGCUGAGGCUGUGGGUGUGAGGUUGCCAUUUCUUGGGAAUCCUGAGAGGCCACAGACAGACAUUCAUCAGGUCUUCUGGAGGUAGAGGUAGACCUGCCCUUUUCCCACUGACAUAUUACCAUACAUACAUAUAUAUGUAUAUAUUAAAAAGGGAUAAGUAUCUCACCCUGCCCUGUGAUGAUAAUAGAAUAUGUAAAUUUAUGAAUGCUAAUGCUAAUAGCCUACUUUUUGGAGGUGAACCGGGAAGCUGAAGACUGAUGGAAUAACACCAUCUCGGAGUGGGACAAUCUGACCCGUCUUAUCAAAGUCCCUCUGCUUGAAGUGUUCACAGCGAAGCACUGAUGAAUCACUUGCUAUAGAAGAUAAAGAAACAUCCCAGUAGAGCUGCUGUCAGUCCCAGU
ensembl:lncRNA